rnacentral:rRNA from 1 species
AGAGUUUGAUCCUGGCUCAGGAUGAACGCUAGCUACAGGCUUAACACAUGCAAGUCGAGGGGCAGCAUCAUCAAAGCUUGCUUUGAUGGAUGGCGACCGGCGCACGGGUGAGUAACACGUAUCCAACCUGCCGACAACACUGGGAUAGCCUUUCGAAAGAAAGAUUAAUACCGGAUGGCAUAGUUUUCCCGCAUGGGAUAAUUAUUAAAGAAUUUCGGUUGUCGAUGGGGAUGCGUUCCAUUAGGCAGUUGGCGGGGUAACGGCCCACCAAACCAACGAUGGAUAGGGGUUCUGAGAGGAAGGUCCCCCACAUUGGAACUGAGACACGGUCCAAACUCCUACGGGAGGCAGCAGUGAGGAAUAUUGGUCAAUGGGCGAGAGCCUGAACCAGCCAAGUAGCGUGAAGGAUGACUGCCCUAUGGGUUGUAAACUUCUUUUAUAAAGGAAUAAAGUCGGGUAUGUAUACCCGUUUGCAUGUACUUUAUGAAUAAGGAUCGGCUAACUCCGUGCCAGCAGCCGCGGUAAUACGGAGGAUCCGAGCGUUAUCCGGAUUUAUUGGGUUUAAAGGGAGCGUAGGCGGGUUGUUAAGUCAGUUGUGAAAGUUUGCGGCUCAACCGUAAAAUUGCAGUUGAUACUGGCGACCUUGAGUGCAACAGAGGUAGGCGGAAUUCGUGGUGUAGCGGUGAAAUGCUUAGAUAUCACGAAGAACUCCGAUUGCGAAGGCAGCUUGCUGGACUGUAACUGACGCUGAUGCUCGAAAGUGUGGGUAUCAAACAGGAUUAGAUACCCUGGUAGUCCACACAGUAAACGAUGAAUACUCGCUGUUUGCGAUAUACAGUAAGCGGCCAAGCGAAAGCGUUAAGUAUUCCACCUGGGGAGUACGCCGGCAACGGUGAAACUCAAAGGAAUUGACGGGGGCCCGCACAAGCGGAGGAACAUGUGGUUUAAUUCGAUGAUACGCGAGGAACCUUACCCGGGCUUAAAUUGCAGAUGAAUUACGGUGAAAGCCGUAAGCCGCAAGGCAUCUGUGAAGGUGCUGCAUGGUUGUCGUCAGCUCGUGCCGUGAGGUGUCGGCUUAAGUGCCAUAACGAGCGCAACCCUUAUCGAUAGUUACCAUCAGGUUAUGCUGGGGACUCUGUCGAGACUGCCGUCGUAAGAUGUGAGGAAGGUGGGGAUGACGUCAAAUCAGCACGGCCCUUACGUCC